GAUGAACGCUAGCGGCAGGCCUAAUACAUGCAAGUCGAACGGAAUAUAGUUUUCGGAUUAUAUUUAGUGGCGCACGGGUGAGUAACACGUACAUAACUUACCCUCAAGAGGGGGAUAGCCUUGGGAAACUGAGAGUAAUACCCCAUAGGAUCAUAAAGCGGCAUCGUUUAAUGAUUAAAGCUACGGCGCUUGAGGAUAGA
rnacentral:rRNA from 1 species